AAUUCCUAGCGACAAUGAUGAACACAUUAGCUUAUCGUGGAGAAGUAACAAUGAAAAAUAAUAUAAAGAAAAUUAUAUCUAAAAUCAAGUUUCAUUCUAAGAAGCAAGUCACAGAUAUAGUCACCGCAAGAAAAUUCGGAUUGCAUGAUGUCGAAAAAUCCAACUUUUCGCACUUCGACAGGAUAUAUAACCCUUAGGCCUUCCGGCGUAACAAUGGGACUGAUGAAGAAAGCCAAUAUAGGUGAAUCUAUAACAUUUAUUGAGACUGCCAUAUCGCAACUAACGGAGGAUAAAAAAUUUCAAGGAAACCACGAAAUGACAGGUUUUCCGAUUUGGGUUUGAUCAGUAAUUCUGGCCAAUAACAGGACUCACAUCUACACAUACAUUUGCCUGAGACUGCUAUUAUAAAAGAUAGGGCUUGUGCCGGGAUAGCUGUUACUACGGCACUCAUUUCAUUAGCAAAUGGUCAAGGUAUCAGGGAAGUUAAAUUUGAAAAGUCAGAUACUUCCUGUCAGAAGUAUCAUGGGAAAAACUGUUGCAACAAUAAAUGCUGGUGUAACACAUUUAAUAUUGCCAAAAAGAAAUCAGGCCGAUUUCAACAACAUGCCUAACUACAUCUAAAGUAAUAUAAACAUAUCUUUUGUAUCGAUAUAUAAUGAUGUAUACCAUAUAUGUUUUAAACAAACACACCAACCUCAAUCCAAAAAAAAUAUAAGAUUAAAUUAUUUUAGUGAUACAAUUAAAUUUUUUAAAUAAUAUAAUUCUAUAAAUUCUCUAUCACAUAUAUAUCUAUUAUGUAGGACGUUUGUAUUACAUUAAGAAUAUCUUUCUAUUAUAAAAAAAAAUAAUGUAUCAUAUACUUCUAAUUGAAAUAAAAUGAUUGGUAUAUACAGUAA